GCUUUACUGUAGUUUAAUAUUGAAAUUGAAUUUUUUCUGCGCAGUAUAAGUGGGAGGCAUUGAUUUUAUUUUUUCGGAAAUUUAGGAGCCAAAAGUGAGAUACCACUCUGAUUAAAUUGAAUUUCUAACUUUNUAUAAUAAGCUUAUUAAAGGACAGUUUUAAAUGGUCAGUUUGACUGGGGCGGUCGCCUCCCAAAUAGUAACGGAGGCGUACAAAGGUUUUCUCUGAACGUGUAGAAAUCGUAUCUAGAGUAUAAAGGCAUAAGAAAGCUUGACUGUAAGACUCACAUGUCGAGCAGGGACGAAAGUCGGUCUUAGUGAUCUGACAGUACUG
rnacentral:rRNA from 1 species